rnacentral:rRNA from 1 species
GACGAACGCUGGCGGCGUGGAUUAGGCAUGCAAGUCGAACGGUAUCAUCCUUUCGGGGGUGAGAGAGUGGCGAACUGGUGAGUAACACGUAGGUUAUCUACCCUCAAGACGGGGACAACCCAGGGAAACUUGGGCUAAUACCGGAUGUGAGCAACUUUUAGUUGUUUGAAAGGUGGCGUAAGCUGUCGCUUGGGGAUGAGCCUGCGUCCUAUUAGUUAGUUGGUGAGGUAACGGCUCACCUAGGCAAUGAUAGGUAGGCGGCCUUAACGGGUGGUCGCCCACACUGGGAUUGAGAUACGGCCCAGACUCCUACGGGAGGCAGCAGUCGAGAAUAGUCUACAAUGGUCGGAAGACUGAUAGUGCGACGCCGCGUGAACGAUGAAUCCCUUCGGGGUGUAAAGUUCUUUUAUAUGUGAGCAGUGCUUCUUAUAUUAACAGUAUGGGAGAGAGAUAUUAGCAUAUGAAUAAGCAACGGCUAAACUCCGUGCCAGCAAGCCGCGGU